rnacentral:SRP_RNA from 1 species
CCGUGCUAGGUGGGGAGCCAGCGGUGCCCUGUACCCGCAAUCCGCUUCAGCGGGGCUGAAUCCCCACCCGAGGAGCGGGCCUGUGAGGUCUGACGCCGGUGUGUGGUGUUGACGGCCAGGUCCUGCGCAAUGGAAAUCCGUGAACCGGGUCAGGACCGGGAGGUAGCAGCCCUAAGCGGACUCUUCCAUGUGCCGCGGGGUGGCUUGGCCUGAGCCGGCUGCCGGCGGGCGCUUGGAGGUCCGUCUUCGAAGGUGGGUGCACGG